rnacentral:rRNA from 1 species
GCUAGCUCCAUGCAACUCUCAAUGCAAUGCAUGCAAUGCAUGCAACUCUCACAUGGUCGCCCACUGAAGCUAAGCAGGGCUGCGCCCGGUCAGUACCUGGAUGGGAGACCACAUGGGAAAGCUAGGUUGCU